rnacentral:rRNA from 1 species
GAUGAACGCUGGCGGCGUGCUUAAUACAUGCAAGUCGAACGGAAACAAUAGCAAUAUUGUUUUAGUGGCGAACGGGUGAGUAACGCGUUGGUGACCUGCCCCGAAGAGAGGGAUAACAGUCCGAAAGGAUUGCUAAUACCCCAUGUGGUUGUUAGGAUUAGAAGCCUUUCAACUAAACGGAUUUAUUCGCUUCGGGAGGGGCCUGCGUCCCAUCAGCUAGUUGGUAGGGUAAUGGCCUACCAAGGCGAUGACGGGUAGGGGACCUGAGAGGGUGGCCCCCCA